CCUACGGGUGGCAGCAGUGAGGAAUAUUGGUCAAUGGACGCAAUUCUGAACCAGCCAUGCCGCGUGCAGGAAGACGGCUCUAUGAGUUGUAAACUGCUUUUGUACGGGGGUAAACGCAGAUACGCGUAUCUGUCUGAAAGUAUCGUACGAAUAAGGAUCGGCUAACUCCGUGCCAGCAGCCGCGGUAAUACGGAGGAUUCAAGCGUUAUCCGGAUUUAUUGGGUUUAAAGGGUGCGUAGGCGGUCGGAUAAGUUAGAGGUGAAAUCCCGAGGCUCAACUUCGGAAUUGCCGCUGAUACUGUUCGGCUAGAGAGUAGAUGCGGUAGGCGGAAUGUAUGGUGUAGCGGUGAAAUGCUUAGAGAUCAUACAGAACACCGAUUGCGAAGGCAGCUUACCAGGCUACUUCUGACGUUGAGGCACGAAAGCGUGGGGAGCGAACAGGAUUAGAUACCCCUGUAGUC
rnacentral:rRNA from 1 species